CGACGACGUCUGUCUGUCCCCAACCACGUGCCUGGACACCGGCUGCCACGCUGAUGCCCUGCCUUUGACAUCUGGCCAGUUGCCGACCCCGUGCCUGGACACUGAUUGAAGACCUGCAAAGGAGACUAACUUCAGCUUAGAGGCAGUGGAACGAAACACCUCUCCACAGUGAAAUCCUCACAGCUGGACUGCAGAACUACCCUGGUGACGAAUCCAGUGCCUGAAAAAAACUACCAUGAAAAGUACCGCAUGGAGUACCGACACUCUCUAGAAAGCCCUUAAAGGGGC